rnacentral:rRNA from 1 species
GGGCCCGCACAAGCGGUGGAGUAUGUGGUUUAAUUCGAUGCAACGCGAAGAACCUUACCAGGGUUUGACAUCCUGCGAAUCUCUUGGAAACAGGAGAGUGCCUUCGGGAACGCAGUGACAGGUGGUGCAUGGCUGUCGUCAGCUCGUGUCGUGAGAUGUUGGGUUAAGUCCCGCAACGAGCGCAACCCACGUCUUUAGUUGCCAGCAUUUAGUUUGGGCACUCUAGAGAGACCGCCGGUGACAAACCGGAGGAAGGUGUGGAUGACGUCAAGUCAUCAUGCCCCUUACGUCCUGGGCUACACACGUACUACAAUGCUACGGACAAAGGGCAGCAAGGUUCGCGAGGACAAGCAAAUCCCCAAUAAACCGUGGCUCG